rnacentral:rRNA from 1 species
CUACGGGUCGCAGCAGUGAGGAAUAUUGCACAAUGGGGGGAACCCUGAUGCAGCAACGCCGCGUGGAGGAUGACGCAUUUCGGUGUGUAAACUCCUUUUAUAUGUCAAGAAAAUGACGGUAGCAUAUGAAUAAGCACCGGCUAACUCCGUGCCAGCAGCCGCGGUAAUACGGAGGGGUGCAAGCGUUACUCGGAAUCACUGGGCGUAAAGGACGCGUAGGCGGGUUGGAAAGUCAGGUGUGAAAUCCUACAGCUUAACUGUAGAACUGCACUUGAAACUUCUAAUCUAGAGCAUGGGAGGGGGAGAUGGAAUUAGUGGUGUAGGGGUAAAAUCCGUAGAUAUCACUAGGAAUACCUAAAGCGAAGGCGAUCUCCUGGAACAUUACUGACGCUAAGGCGUGAAAGCGUGGGGAGCAAACAGGAUUAGAUACCCGAGUAGUC